UGUAGGUUGGUGCAGGUAUGGA
rnacentral:misc_RNA from 1 species